rnacentral:rRNA from 1 species
CAUUGACUUAGCUGGCGGCGGGCCUAACACAUGCAGUCGAGCGGAUGAAGGGAGCUUGCUCCCUGAUUUAGCGGCGGACGGGUGAGUAAUGCCUAGGAAUCUGCCUGGUAGUGGGGGAUAACGUUCCGAAAGGAACGCUAAUACCGCAUACGUCCUACGGGAGAAAGCUGGGGACCUUCGGGCCUUGCCCUAUCAGAUGAGCCUAAGUCGGAUUAGCUAGUUGGUGAGGUAAUGGCUCACCAAGGCGACGAUCCGUAACUGGUCUGAGAGGAUGAUCAGUCACACUGGAACUGAGACACGGUCCAGACUCCUACGGGAGGCAGCAGUGGGGAAUAUUGGACAAUGGGCGAAAGCCUGAUCCAGCCAUGCCGCGUGUGUGAAGAAGGUCUUCGGAUUGUAAAGCACUUUAAGUUGGGAGGAAGGGCAUUAACCUAAUACGUUAGUGUUUUGACGUUACCGACAGAAUAAGCACCGGCUAACUUCGUGCCAGCAGCCGCGGUAAUACGAAGGGUGCAAGCGUUAAUCGGAAUUACUGGGCGUAAAGCGCGCGUACGUGGUUCGUUAAGUUGGAUGUGAAAGUCCCGGGCUCAACCUGGGAACUGCAUCCGAAACUGGCGAGCUAGAGUACGGUAGAGGGUGGUGGAAUUUCCUGUGUAGCGGUGAAAUGCGUAUAUAUAGGAAGGAACACCAGUGGCGAAGGCGACCACCUGGACUGAUACUGACACUGAGGUGCGAAAGCGUGGGGAGCAAACACGAUUAGAUACCCUGAUAGUCCACGCCGUAAACGAUGUCAAUUAGCCGUUGGUGUCCUUGAGAACUUAGUGGCGCAGCUAACGCAUUAAGUUGACCGCCUGGCGAGUACGGCCGCAAGGUUAAACUCAAAUGAAUUGAUGUGGGCCCGCACAGCGGUGGAGCAUGUGUUUAAUUCAAAGCAACGCAAGAACUUACCUGGCCUGACUUGCUGACAACUUCCUAAUGGAUUGUGCUUCGGUACUCAAAUCAGUGCUGCUGCUGUCGUCAG